AGUGAACGCUGGCGGUGGGCCUAACACAUGCAAGUCGAACGGCAGCACAGUAAGAGCUUGCUCUUACGGGUGGCGAGUGGCGGACGGGUGAGGAAUACAUCGGAAUCUACUUUUUCGUGGGGGAUAACGUAGGGAAACUUACGCUAAUACCGCAUACGACCUACGGGUGAAAGCAGGGGAUCUUCGGACCUUGCGCGAUUGAAUGAGCCGAUGUCGGAUUAGCUAGUUGGCGGGGUAAAAGCCCACCAAGGCGACGAUCCGUAGCUGGUCUGAGAGGAUGAUCAGCCACACUGGAACUGAGACACGGUCCAGACUCCUACGGGAGGCAGCAGUGGGGAAUAUUGGACAAUGGGCGCAAGCCUGAUCCAGCCAUACCGCGUGGGUGAAGAAGGCCUUCGGGUUGUAAAGCCCUUUUGUUGGGAAAGAAAAGCAGCAGGUUAAUACCCCGCUGUUCUGACGGUACCCAAAGAAUAAGCACCGGCUAACUUCGUG
rnacentral:rRNA from 1 species